CUUUUCAGAUAGAAUUCACUGUGAAAAACAGGACUGGCCAGAGUGCUUAUCAUUUCUUACGGGGGAUGUUUGGAGAUGAUGCCAUUGGCACCAUAGAACUUCCUGAGCCAUAUAGUCCAAACUUUAUCUUAAGGGCAUAUAAAUCCUGUCCAAGAUGGCUGAAAGAAGUUUACAAAAAUGAAGAAACAACUUACAAGGAAAGAAGGUUA